rnacentral:rRNA from 1 species
CAGUCGCCGCGGUAAUACGGAGGGUGCAAGCGUUAAUCGGAAUUACUGGGCGUAAAGCGUGUGUAGGUGGUUGUUUAAGUCUGUCGUGAAAGCCCUGGGCUCAACCUGGGAAUUGCGAUGGAUACUGGGCGACUAGAGUGCGGUAGAGGAUAGUGGAAUUUCCGGUGUAGCAGUGAAAUGCGUAGAGAUCGGAAGGAACAUCUGUGGCGAAGGCGACUAUCUGGGCCAACACUGACACUGAGACACGAAAGCGUGUGGAGCAAACAGGAUUAGAUACCCCCGUAGUCCCUGUCUCUUAUAC